AGCCCCUGCGGCCUCAGAGCCACACGGCAGUGGCGUUUCCCCCUUUCCGUGGGUUCUCCGCGGUUAUUCUCAUGACUCCAUGUGUCUGCAGGGAGCCAGCCCGGGAAGGACACAAAACCCCCAUACUGCACGGUCCAUGGCCCACCGGGCGGCCUCGGCUCUCUGACCACGACCGCCCCUGCCCGGCUCAACCAGGGCUCACAAAGGCCUUGCAGAGCAUCCUGCAGGUGCCCUGGGUGAGCAGACAGGGCAGAGGAGAGGGCCAGGGGCCGGUCUGAGAACUGGAGAAAGAAGAAAAAUUACUGAAGGAUGUAAGCAAGCCCGACCCCAACAAAAGAAAAGAGACGAUCCUUUGAUGCAGGAAACAUCUCCCGUGUGGGCGGGAGAGGAGGCCACGUCGAACUUGGCUGGGGCUACGCCGGAGGACUACUUCCCGGGGAUGCCGGGGCUCUAGGAGGGGGCGUCCUGGAGGAGCCACCCAUGGAGCUGGUUCCAGCAGCUCACCUCUCAGCCCAGCCAAACACAGGACUUCUUGGAGGGGCCGCGGGAGGAGUGUGCAGACCAGGACGCCAGCCCUGCUGUGUCGCCAGAGACGACUGUCCCUCUCCCUCCUUCGGAGCCUCCGUUUCCCCACAUUUACAACGAAGCUGCACCUGAUCCAUCCCAAGUGAUAAACCACUUUGUAGCACUGAAAAGUUUCUUCAUGAGAAAGCUUCCCCAGGGCCCCCACUUGAAGAAAAUGACUCAGGGGGGGGGGGUCAAAUGUUGACUCAACUCCCGGCCCACCUGCUCUUAAAGGUCGACCGGGAGGCACCCCCCAAGGAACAACCCCCCCCCCCGGGGGGGGCGGUUCCUGGGAGCCCACUUAGAGAACGGCAAGACUCUGUUCUAAAUCUGACAUUCUGGGAGUUCCCACUGUGGCUCAGCUGGUUAAGAACCCAACUGUAUCCAUGA